CAGUAGCCGCGGUAAUACGAAGGGGGCUAGCGUUGUUCGGAUUAACUGGGCGUAAAGGGCGCGUAGGCGGGUCUUUAAGUCAGGGGUGAAAUCCCAAGGCUCAACCUUGGAACUGCCUUUGAUACUGGAGAUCUUGAGUCCGGGAGAGGUGAGUGGAACUGCGAGUGUAGAGGUGAAAUUCGUAGAUAUUGGGAAGAACACCAGUGGCGAAGGCGGCUCACUGGACCGACACUGACGCUGAGGCGCGAAAGCGUGGGGAGCAAACAGGAUUAGAUACCCCAGUAGUCCCUGUCUCUUAUAC
rnacentral:rRNA from 1 species